rnacentral:rRNA from 1 species
GACGAACGCUGGCGGCGUGCUUAACACAUGCAAGUCGAACGGAAAGGCCCUGCUUUUGUGGGGUGCUCGAGUGGCGAACGGGUGAGUAACACGUGAGUAACCUGCCCUUGACUUUGGGAUAACUUCAGGAAACUGGGGCUAAUACCGGAUAGGAGCUCCUGCUGCAUGGUGGGGGUUGGAAAGUUUCGGCGGUUGGGGGUGGACUCGCGGCUUAUCAGCUUGUUGGUGGGGUAGUGGCUUACCAAGGCUUUGACGGGUAGCCGGCCUGAGCGGGUGACCUGCCACAUUGGGACUGAGAUACGGCCCAGACUCCUACGGGAGGCAGCAGUGGGGAAUAGUGCACAAUGGGCGGAAGCAUGAUGCAGCAAAGCCGCGUGCGGGAUGACGGCCUUCGGGUUGUAUACCGCUUUCGCCUGUGACGAAGCGUGAGUGACGGUAAUGGGUAAAGAAGCACCGGCUAACUACGUG